GACAGAGGGGGCAAGCGUUGCUCGGAAUCACUGGGCGUAAGGCGCGCGUAGGCGGAUUUGCAAGUCGGGGGUGAAAUCCCGAGGCUCAACCUCGGAACUGCCUUCGAUACUGCAAAUCUUGAGUCCGGAAGAGGUGAGUGGAAUUCCUAGUGUAGAGGUGAAAUUCGUAGAUAUUAGGAAGAACACCAGUGGCGAAGGCGGCUCACUGGUCCGGUACUGACGCUGAGGCGCGAAAGCGUGGGGAGCAAACAGG
rnacentral:rRNA from 1 species